UUAACUAAGAUUUGUAUGGAGUUGAAACGUCUGCUUACGUUUGCCGCUAAGGGCGCUGUUCCAACUCCAUACAAAUUUGUGUUA
rfam:Bombyx mori DNA, contig: Bm_scaf72_contig31204, strain: p50T/Dazao, build 2, whole genome shotgun sequence.